CCUAAUACAUGCAAGUCGCCGCUUUUUCUUUCACCGGAGCUUGCUCCACCGAAAGAAAAGGAGUGGCGAACGGGUGAGUAACACGUGGGUAACCUGCCCAUCAGAAGGGGAUAACACUUGGAAACAGGUGCUAAUACCGUAUAACAAUCGAAACCGCAUGGUUUCGGUUUGAAAGGCGCUUUUGCGUCACUGAUGGAUGGACCCGCGGUGCAUUAGCUAGUUGGUGAGGUAACGGCUCACCAAGGCAACGAUGCAUAGCCGACCUGAGAGGGUGAUCGGCCACAUUGGGACUGAGACACGGCCCAAACUCCUACGGGAGGCAGCAGUAGGGAAUCUUCGGCAAUGGACGGAAGUCUGACCGAGCAACGCCGCGUGAGUGAAGAAGGUUUUCGGAUCGUAAAACUCUGUUGUUAGAGAAGAACAAGGAUGAGAGUAGAAUGUUCAUCCCUUGACGGUAUCUAACCAGAAAGCCACGGCUAACUACGUGCCAGCAGCCGCGGUAAUACGUAGGUGGCAAGCGUUGUCCGGAUUUAUUGGGCGUAAAGCGAGCGCAGGCGGUUUCUUAAGUCUGAUGUGAAAGCCCCCGGCUCAACCGGGGAGGGUCAUUGGAAACUGGGAAACUUGAGUGCAGAAGAGGAGAGUGGAAUUCCAUGUGUAGCGGUGAAAUGCGUAGAUAUAUGGAGGAACACCAGUGGCGAAGGCGGCUCUCUGGUCUGUAACUGACGCUGAG
rnacentral:rRNA from 1 species